GUCUACGGCCAUACCACGUUGAAAGCACCAGUUCUCGAUCGAUCACUGAAGUUAAGCAACGUCGGGCUCGGUUAGUACUUGGAUGGGUGACCGCCUGGGAACACCGAGUGCUGUAGACU
rnacentral:rRNA from 1 species